GAUGAACGCUGGCGGCGUGCUUAACACAUGCAAGUCGAACGAAGCACCUCUCCCGUAGCUUGUCUCAUCUUGCUGUCGAAUGAUUCAUUUACGCGUAGUGAGCCUACCACUGGUGCGGAACGCGUGGGUAACCUGCCUCGUUGAUAGGGACAACAAUUUGGAACCACUUCUAAUACAGCAGAGUAAGAGGAAUUCGGAUGCUUUUUUCUUGAAAGAUUGAUCGUUAUCAGAUGGAUCCGCAACGGAUUAGCUAGUAGGUAAGGUAACGGCUUACCAAGGGGAGGACCAGUAGCCGGCAUGGGAGAGAGAACGGCCACAUUGGGGCGGAGACACGGCACAGACUCCUACGGGAGGGAGCAGUGGGGAAUAGUGCAAAAUGGGGGAAACCCUGAUGCAGCGACGACGCGAGAGUGAAGAAGUAUGUCGGUAUGUAAAGCUCAAUCAGCAGGGAAGAUAAUGACGGUACCUGACUAAGAAGCCCCGGCUAACUACGUG
rnacentral:rRNA from 1 species